ACGGGAGGCAGCAGUAGGGAAUCUUCCGCAAUGGACGAAAGUCUGACGGAGCAACGCCGCGUGAGUGAUGAAGGCUUUCGGGUCGUAAAACUCUGUUGUUAGGGAAGAACAAGUGCUAGUUGAAUAAGCUGGCACCUUGACGGUACCUAACCAGAAAGCCACGGCUAACUACGUGCCAGCAGCCGCGGUAAUACGUAGGUGGCAAGCGUUAUCCGGAAUUAUUGGGCGUAAAGCGCGCGCAGGUGGUUUCUUAAGUCUGAUGUGAAAGCCCACGGCUCAACCGUGGAGGGUCAUUGGAAACUGGGAGACUUGAGUGCAGAAGAGGAAAGUGGAAUUCCAUGUGUAGCGGUGAAAUGCGUAGAGAUAUGGAGGAACACCAGUGGCGAAGGCGACUUUCUGGUCUGUAACUGACACUGAGGCGCGAAAGCGUGGGGAGCAAACAGGAUUAGAUACCCUGGUAGUCCACGCCGUAAACGAUGAGUGCUAAGUGUUAGAGGGUUUCCGCCCUUUAGUGCUGAAGUUAACGCAUUAAGCACUCCGCCUGG
rnacentral:rRNA from 1 species